rnacentral:lncRNA from 1 species
GGGGCAGAUCCAGCCACUUAGAAGGUUCCAGAUGAACUCCCUGCCUCUGCUUGCUCCUUUCCACCCUUUCAAAUCUGCACAUCCGGACUAAUUCAGGAUGGUCCAUUGUUGACCCGGAGACCUGAGUUCCCGAUACAGAGCCUCAUGUGGUUUAUGGAAGCUUUUCAAGAUUCUUAUAAAAGCCACUAUUGUUUUGAAACUGUUCUAGUGGCAAGGAUUGGACUGGGUGACAUUAGCACCAUUUUUACAAACAUUUCGCUCUUAGAAAAUGCUUUCAAAGCAAACUACAAUGCUAUCUAUACAGUGUGUCCUCUCUUCUUAAUACAUUCCAACUACUAAUUGACUUGAGAGACACAGUCUUCCUUAAAAAUGCAAAGCUAAGCUUAAAACUUGCGGAUCUUCAAGCAUUUCAACGUAGAAAUGAAUGUUUCCUACACAACACAAAAUGCUUGAAAAUCCUCAAGUCCAUUACUCUUACUUGUGGAGAUUACAGGAAGGCUUUUGAUAUUAAAGACGUCUGUGUCCGAAUCCUGGCUUCCUCAUGAUGAAUUACAUUAACCUAGACAGUUUAUUUGAUCUGCCAAGAUUCUCUGCUUUCAUGUGUAAAAAGUGUAGUCCUCAAUAAGAUUUUCAUGAGAUCGUUAUAUAUGCAAGAGCCUACCAUCAUGGUUCACUGGUAAGCGCUUGGUGUUUGGAUCCUCGAUUUGGCAAGCUUGUGACGGGUGUGUUUCCCAGGGGUUUGUGUGAGGGUUUCUGAAUUGAGGUUUCUAUGUCUCCUGGUCUUAUAUACUGCUUUUAUUAUGUAUUUGCAUACAGCCCACAGUUUCAUAGCUGUUAACUACUUACUCGGAGAAUGCC